AGUGGUCACCCUCUCCCUUCUUCCUUCUCCUCAAGCUCUGCCCUCCUUCACUGAAGACUGUUACUUUUCAUUUUACUUGGGUCGUUCCCCUAUACCCCUUACAACGUCCAGCAGCCCGGACACAGUCUGUUUCUUGUUCUCUUAUUAUUGCCAGAAAAUUUAUGUAUCGAUUCCCCUACCAACCAAUACUAUCUUUAAAACUACACUGCUGACUCCGUGAGGAAGCGCUGUUAAAGCGCGAAACCGGUCGAGUCCACCAACGCAGCAAGCCAAACCACCGCAGACAUAUCUUUGCCUGCAUUUCCACAACGCGACAGGACUACUAAUCACAUUUAUGCACCUUAUUCCAAAUCUCUUUGGAAGUGUUCAACUUCAUUGUUGAUACAUUGUUAUAUUUUAUGUACAAAUUCCUGUCAUUGUUUAUGGAUAGGCUUGCCUAGUUAGCCUUUUAGAUAGUUUUUUGUGCUGGAAACGGCAAUACUUUUUCUU